GAUGAACGCUAGCGGCAGGCCUAAUGCAUGCAAGUCGAACGGUAAGGCCCUUUCGGGGGUACACGAGUGGCGGACGGGUGCGUAACGCGUAUGCAACAUGCCUUCCAGCGGGGGAUAUACCAGGGAAACUUGGCGCAAUACCCCAUAGAAUUACGGGACCGCAUGGUCUUGUGAUUAAAACUCCGGUGCUGGGAGAUUGGCAUGCGUGACAUUAGCUAGUUGGCGGGGUAACGGCCCACCAAGGUGACGAUGUCUAGCUGGUCUGAGAGGAUGAUCAGCCACACUGGGACUGAGACACGGCCCAGACUCCUACGGGAGGCAGCAGUAGGGAAUAUUGGACAAUGGGGGGAACCCUGAUCCAGCCAUGCCGCGUGAGUGAAGAAGGCCUCGGUUG
rnacentral:rRNA from 1 species